GGUUCCAUAGUGUAAUGGUUAUCAUAUUGACUUUACAUGCAGAAGGUCCUGCGUUCAAGCCCCAGUGAAACCA